GAAGAUCACCUGUCUCGCUCAGCCAGGGAACACGAGAAAGAGGGAGCGAGAUCGGUGCACCGCUCCCUUAUAAAUACCGACCUCCGUUGCCGUUUCUCAUCUCCCUCCCACCCCUCCCCCCACCUCAUCAUUUGAUCGCUGCCUCCUUCGCUUCCUCUGGUUGUUCUCCUUCGGCAUCUCGAGACUCCUGGGUUCCAUCCCCUCCUCAUCUUUGCCGAAUUUUCUUGUUUCGUUUGAUGGAUUCUCUUCUGAUCUCUUUGUCUUCUGAUGUAUGAUUGUUAAGUCUUGGACAUGUUUCUGGAUUCUUCACAUCAAAGUGUGUUUUCUUCUUUUUCUGGCAGGAUUACCGAGUUUGGGUUGAAGGUUCGGUGCAGAGGCAAAAGGAUCGCACUGCUCGAUCUCGGAGGCCGACAACUUCGACCUGGAAGCCGUUCGAUGAUCGGUCACUAGGCGAGAUCUCGACGACGGCAAAUCUCAGGCCGGUCGGUAGCUGUGGAAGCAUGUACUCCUCGGGCGCGGGGCGAUCGUUGCUGGACACGCCAGCCUCAUCGGAUCGGGAUUCGUUGAAGCCACACGCGAUGGUUGGAUCGGUAGUUUUCUUCCGAGGGCUGCCGGUGGGGGCAUGAUAGCACAUGAGAUCAUGCCUCGAAGGAGGCUUUUGAUUAUGAUCAGUUACUCUUGCUUGCCCUCCUGCGGCUCCUCUUCAUCGUCAGGCCAGCUGAAGCCUGCAUCGAAAGCUGAUGAUGGUGGAACCCUUGCCAUCCUGACGAUCUGAGUUAUAUCUGCCACACUCUGAAGGGAAUAGGUGGGCAUGUUGUCAUCCUUCUUGCGGGUUGGCCACAAAGAUCCGAGAGAGAAGAUGCCUGCAGUCCUGGGAGAGAUGAACAUAUUCGGGCCCCACAAUGUCUUCAAAAUAUCCACAAAACCAGUCUGAAGAGAAUCAAUUUAUGGUGCUCACCUUUCCAUCGUACUCUCGCUGGGAGAGGACCUCAGGAGCAAUGUAUGCAGGGCUUCCCACCGUAGAUUUCGGCCGCGAGUGAAGCACAGAUGACUAAAUUCUCCACACAAAAAGUCGCAGAUCUUGAGUCGAGGUGCCGGGCUGCCAUCAAGCAGAGUGUUCUCCAUCUUCAGGUCUCGAUGGCAAAUUUGCUUGGCAGUAGCUGACGCCGCAGAUGAGCUGCUGAAAGAAGUACCUCGCCUAGAGAUGCAGCAACAGAGCUUUAGAGCAGAAUCAACAAGGAAGAAGAUGAAGGGAGGGGUAAUACCU